UUACGGCCACAUUACAUUGAAACGCCAGUUCCCGUACGAUCACCGAAGUUAAGCAACGUCGAGACUGUCAGUACCUAGAUGAGUAACCGCUUGGCAAUACU